UACGAAGGGGCUAGCGUUGUUCGGAAUCACUGGGCGUAAAGGGUGCGUAGGCGGGUCUUUUAAGUCAGGGGUGAAAUCCUGGAGCUCAACUCCAGAACUGCCUUUGAUACUGAGGAUCUUGAGUUCGGGAGAGGUGAGUGGAACUGCGAGUGUAGAGGUGAAAUUCGUAGAUAUUCGCAAGAACACCAGUGGCGAAGGCGGCUCACUGGCCCGAUACUGACGCUGAGGUGCGAAAGCGUGGGGAGCAAACAGGG
rnacentral:rRNA from 1 species